AUACGUAGGUGGCAAGCGUUAUCCGGAAUUAUUGGGCGUAAAGAGGGAGCAGGCGGCAGCAAGGGUCUGUGGUGAAAGCCUGAAGCUUAACUUCAGUAAGCCAUAGAAACCAGGCAGCUAGAGUGCAGGAGAGGAUCGUGGAAUUCCAUGUGUAGCGGUGAAAUGCGUAGAUAUAUGGAGGAACACCAGUGGCGAAGGCGACGAUCUGGCCUGCAACUGACGCUCAGUCCCGAAAGCGUGGGGAGCAAAUAGGAUUAGAUACCCUAGUAGUCCACGCCGUAAACGAUGAGUACUAAGUGUUGGAUGUCAAAGUUCAGUGCUGCAGUUAACGCAAUAAGUACUCCGCCUGAGUAGUACGUUCGCAAGAAUGAGACUCAAAUGAAUUGGCGGGG
rnacentral:rRNA from 1 species